UUUUUUGAGAGUUUGAUCCUGGCUCAGGAUGAACGCUGGCGGUGUGCUUUAGGCAUGCAAGUCGAACGGUAACAGGUCUAGUUUACUAGAUGCUGACGAGUGGCGAACGGGUGAGUAACACGUAGGAAUCUACCUAGUAGCGGGGGAUAGCCCAUCGAAAGAUGGGAUAAUACCGCAUAAGCCCUUACGGGGAAAGCAUUUAUGCACUAUUAGAGGAGCCUGCGCGCUAUCAGUUAGUUGGUGGGGUAAUGGCCUACCAAGACUACGACGGCUAGCCGAUGUGAGAGCAUGAUCGGCCACAAGGUUACUGAGACACGGAACCUACACCUACGGGUGGCAGCAACCGGGAAUAUUGCGCAAUGGACGAAAGUCUGACGCAGCGACACCGCGUGUGGGAAGACGCUUUUCGGAGUGUA
rnacentral:rRNA from 1 species